rnacentral:rRNA from 1 species
UACGGGGGGAGCAAGCGUUGUUCGGAUUUACUGGGCGUAAAGGGCGCGUAGGCGGCCACCGCAAGUCGACUGUGAAAUCUCCGGGCUUAACCCGGAAAGGUCAGCCGAUACUGCGGGGCUAGAGUGCAGAAGGGGCAACUGGAAUUCUCGGUGUAGCGGUGAAAUGCGUAGAUAUCGAGAGGAACACCAGCGGCGAAGGCGGGUUGCUGGGCUGACACUGACGCUGAUGCGCGAAAGCUAGGGGAGCGAACGGG